CUACAUUAGUGAUCAUUUACUUAUGCACUGCUACUCGGGUUACACGCAAGGAGAGUGGUGUGAAGUGUGAGCUUCUUUUCACUUGUCAUCCAAGAGUUUAAAUUUGGUCGGGUUGAUGGAACUUUCCUGAAGCUGAAAUCCCCCCUUGGAGUAUACUCACCUAUUUGGGUUCUCCACAGAAAAGUGGCAAAUGGGUGCUAGUUCACUAGUACUUCGAUAUUGGAAUGGUUGACUCUGAUGGUUGGCUGGGCUCAACUAGUCUGUAUAAUAUAUGAACUUAAGUAACUUCUGCUUUGGUUGAUUGUGAGUCUAAAAGAUAACAUAUAGUGUUCCAUAUGCAUUGGUCUCUACUCGUAUUGAAGCUUUAGGCUUGGGCCAAGUGUUGUCCAUGGGCGUCCUAAAUUU